CCUACGGGAGGCAGCAGUGGGGAAUAUUGCGCAAUGGGCGAAAGCCUGACGCAGCGACGCCGCGUGAGGGAUGAAGGUCUUCGGAUCGUAAACCUCUGUCAGCAGGGAAGAACGGUCACUGUGCUAAUCAGCAGUGAAUUGACGGUACAUGCAAAGGAAGAACCGGCAAACCCGGUCCCAGCACCCGCGGUAAUACGGAGGGUGCGAGCGUUAAUCGGAAUUACUGGGGGUAAAGCGCUCGUAGGCGGUAUGUAAAGUCAAGGGUGAAAUCCCGGCGCUCAACCGGUAUAGGCUCUGGAAACUGGCGGGCUAGAGAGCAGGAGAGGGCGGUGGAACUCCAUGUGUAGCGGUAAAAUGCGUAGAUAUAUGGAAGAACACCAGUGGCGAAGGCGGCCGCCUGGCCUGUUACUGACGCUGAGGCACGAAAGCGUGGGGAGCAAAUAGGAUUAGAUACCCCUGUAGUC
rnacentral:rRNA from 1 species